ACAAGGUUUAUACUUCCCUGUUCCCUUCCAUUCAUUUCCUAUUCAAAUCGUAAAUUUACACAGAGAACUCUGUUGUAGAUUCGUUAGCAUAUAAUUCAAUUUGGUUGAACAAAUGAAGAAAAAUACCUGAAGCUCUCAAUCUCGCGCUUGAUUCAAAUAAUCCCUUCCCCUCCACUCUCACAAAGGAUUGCUACAAAAUGGAGUGGGAUCAACCCUUGACAGAGCAAGAUCUCCAAGCCAUCGACGCCGCCUUACAGUCCGCCACUUCCUCUUUUCGCAACAAGAAACAACGAUGCAGCCCUGAUGUCCGAGACCACGCCGUAAUAUCUGAUCCCCCCAAGACUCUCCGUCGAUUGCCCAGUUCCCUUGCCGCCCUCCAACACCCAAAUCCACUUCUAUCCCCUUGCCAAGCGGUGAAUGUGAGGACGAGAUACCCAGCGUUGAAGUUUGGGGGUCGCAUUGUGUACAGCAGGACCGCCAUCGAGGUAGAGAAUGCUGCAGAGGAGCUGUUGAAGAACCUCGAAGCAGGGAAAAGAGAGUCGGGUCAAGUCGUACUUGGAUUCGACAUUGAGUGGCGACCCACUUUCCAAAGAGGUGUUUCGACUGGGAAGGCUGCAGUUUUGCAGAUAUGUGUGGACACUAGUCAUUGCCAUGUGAUGCAUAUUUUUCAUUCUGGAAUUACUCAAAGUUUGCAAUUUCUCCUUGAGGAUCCUAUUAUUUUGAAGGUUGGAGUCGGCAUUGCCAAUGAUGCUGUCAAGGUUUUUAAAGACUAUAAUGCAUCCAUAAAAGCUGUGGAAGAUCUUUCCUAUCUCGCUAACCAAAAGCUUGGUGGCGAUCCCCGGAAAUGGAGUCUUGCAUCCCUAACUGAGAUGCUUAUAUCCAAAGAGCUUCAAAAGCCCGACAAAAUUAGGCUAGGAAACUGGGAGACUAAAUUUCUGUCGAAGGAGCAAUUAGAGUAUGCUGCCACUGAUGCUUUUGCUUCUUGGUAUCUCUAUCAGGUCUUAAAAGGCCUCUCAAACAGAGAAGAUGUUGCUCCAGACAAAGGAAUUGAGGAUUUGAAAAGUGUGGCAUCAUAAUGUUCAGCAAAACCUUUUCUGCUUUUAUCAAACUCAGCCAUAUAUUUGAAUGGCCUCAAAUCAUUUAUUGACUAGCAGAUGAGGCUCAUGUUCAUGCAUGCAUGUUCUUAUUUAGAAGAUUGGUAUUGAAUUUGAUGUCAAUGAAACUCAGAUUCAUCCAAAAUCUGAACUUCUUUCAUGAACAUUCCAAAAUGUCACAAAUUGGACCGUAGCAUGCUGCACUAAUGAGCUUAAUGGGAAAGGUACACUAUUAGUCCUCUCUGCAUGUGCGUGGGCCUGCCGCUACAUGGCGAUGGCGUCUCAUUGAAUUA